rnacentral:rRNA from 1 species
GACGAACCGUGCGAACGUUAUUCGGAAUCACUGGGCUUAAAGGGCGCGUAGGCGGGCGGCCAAGUCAGGGGUGAAAGCCCCCAGCUCAACUGGGGAAGUGCCUUUGAUACUGGUUGUCUCGAGGGAGGUAGGGGCGUGCGGAACUUCCGGUGGAGCGGUGAAAUGCGUAGAUAUCGCUUGGAACGCCAGUGGUGAAAACGGGUCGCUGGGGACAUGCUGACGCUGAGACACGAAAGCCAGGGGAGCAAACGGG